UAUCCCAAAUUCUCCUAGGACUGCAACACAUCCGGCACACCCGGCAGGUGAAGAAACAGUCUCGGUGACAUUUACAUACAGCUAACGAGCUGUCAGCAGUGUGAUCCGAGCAUCCGAGCAAGCCGAGAGUUUGUCGCGGUGGAAGAGAUGAAUCAACAUACCAUUGGAAACUAUCCUCGUGCGAACAAGAAAAGGGACCAUUGUGCUACAAAAUGCACCAGCAGUGUACGCGGGGACAUCUUCUUUCCGGUGUUACGAUCCAUCACAUCAGUCUAUUCCUCGUCUGUUAGAUACUUCCGGUGUUGGGGAGUGAACUGCUGAAAGAAGAAAAAAGUAUUGUGCAUCUUCCGAGACGGAGUGUGAUAGUGCUGUUUUGUUUUGUUGGGCGUUGAAGAGGAGCAUUGUGGUUGACGCGAGCGCGUUAGUGUGUAAAUCGAAAUUGAACGAGUUUCGGUGUGAGUGACAAAGGCGCGCUAGACGUGGGGGCCCGAAUACUACUCCACCGCGAGAUUGCUGUCGGCUCCUCGGCGCCAUUGUGCCAUGAUCCGGAGUAGUGGAAUGGAAAAGCACAAAACACAUCUUCCGGACUGCCGGAAGCUUAACGUCACCGAUGGAAUCCCCGGCCCCCCUCCGGCUUGUUGUUGUUGCACGUGCUGCAGUACCUUUUUAAAAAGGGGAGCGAGUAAUGCAUGCGGUUGACGCGCUACCUUCGCACGAAAACUAUCUUUCCGGAUUGCAUUUGUCUCAACGGAAGGCAGAAAGACGAAAGAGUGAAGCUAUGCCUCAAAAUCCUUAACAACCAAAACGGAAUGCGAUAAAUGGGCUAAUUUGUUCGUAUGGAAACACUACACUUUGCAGUCUUGGAAUGCCGGCACGGGAAUGGUAAGUGGGAUGAGAUGUUACCUAAAAUUGUGAAACUUUUCGUCUGAAUCUUUCCGGUCGGAAUUAAUGUUGCUAAGUAAUAACGCGCUGGUUUCUGGCUGAUGGCUCCAGUAAGGAAAGACGGUUAACAUUAUGCAUAUUUUCCGUGGAAAAGAAAAGUUGAUACCUCAGAAUUAUAGCUACUUUCAAUUGCUUGCACGGUUUCGAAGUAAUUCUUUUCAGUUUUUAGUUGGUCUUUAAGCGCGAUGGAGUCCUAAACUACUUUAUAUCGUUGAACAUCGAUGGGCUUGUCCCCUCUAUACCAAAUAUCUA